GUGAUGUCAUUGAACUCUUAAGUGCAAGAUGAAACAAGUCUUUCUGGGGUUCUAAGUAGGCAUGGUGUAAGGAACUUGAGCUCAAAAUGAACUAAGACACAGUCUUGUUCACACAGUGGAAGAGUACUGAGCUGUCUCCGAAGAAUUCAGAUUAUUGAAUGUAGGCACCCUUUUCUGAUUUCCUUCAUCAAUUCAAUUCAGGAGAUGUGAUGCAAUGUGAUGUGUCAAUGUAUGUAUGAUCGAAGUGUCAGUCUCUAUAAGUACUCCGCUCCAUGAUCCUGGGGUGAAGUGCUACAAAACACAUUUUUGGUGGAGCAGAAAUAGUGCUGCCUUUCCUGUGCUUCCCACGGCUGUUGUAGAUAGAAAGCAAUGAAUUCAGAAUUCUCAAGUCGGCCAGGCCAUCUUCUCAGUGAGCUUUGCCUCAGGCACCCUAGAUAUUACCACAUGAGAGCUAUAUUUCAUCUGUUCUUAAAUUUUUGCAGCUAAAGGACCACAUUUGAGGGUCGAAAUCCCUGCCACAAAACCAACCUUACCACCUUCUACUACUCAUAAGAAAAAUCCAUCAGAAUUUACUGGAAUUUAUUGCAAGAAUGACCUUCCAUUUCAUGAGUUGACAAUGAUGUGAAGCCUGGUUUUAUCAACUAUCCAAGUAAAGUAGUAACUUCAAGUCUUUAAUAGUACACAAGAAUCAUUUACAGGUCAAGUAUGGAACCUCUAAUUAUGAAAAACUGAUUCUCAGAGCAUAUUUUACCAGAUAUUGUGAGAAACAGAGAAAAAGCAGUUAACAAUGAAAGUAAUUACUGGCCUUCAAAUUCAUUAUUAACAGCAAGUCAAAUUGAAAAGGUACUGGUUCUGUUCUCUGUCAUUGACGUGAGAGAAUAUGGUAGAAGUAAGCGGAGAAAGAGACUUGGAGGCCAUCUGCUCAGGCCCUUUCACUUUUCUUCAGAAGCAAAGUUGUUAAUUGCUCAAGGCCUUCAAGAUCCCCACAUUCCGUCUCUUUCCGUAGAACAUACAUGUGCCAGUAUCCAGAUUUCUUCACAUAUUCUUCUUUCCAUGUCUCCCAUUUCAAAGAAGUGUUCCUUCUCAGGUGUAAAGAGUGAGGCUAAUUGCCCUGUCUUUUCCCGCUAACUCAGCUCUUCCUGAAACAAGUACCUUUCCUCAUUUCUGUAAUUUUUCUUCUGCUUGCCAUAAAAGGAAAUCAAGUUGCAUACCAUUCAAAUCUCCCAUCAGCUUUGUGAUCUUUGGAAAUGUUUUUUUCACAUUUUCUAAUAGAAAAUUUCAUAUACAGUAUGUACGAAAUGGAGUGAAAUGAUAAGGUCCCAUUUAUACGACACUCAACUUCAAUAGUUUCUAACUCAUAGUAAUCUUGUUUCAUCUAUACUUGCACUCGCUGCCAUUCUGUCAGAUAAUUUUAAAACAAAUAUCAGAUAUUAUAUCAUUCUCUAGUAUUUAUCACUAACAUUUAAGAGCUAUUUUAUUAAACAUAAGAGUAAUGUCAGGGUCUGGGGUGUUGGCUCACGUCUGUAAUCUCAGCAUUUUGGGAAGUCGAGGCAGGCAGAUCACUUGAGGUUAGGAGUUCGAGACCAGCCUGGCUAAUACAGUGAAACCCUGUCUCUACUAAGAAUCCAAAAAUUAGCCAGGCAUGGUGGCGUAUGCCUGUGGUCCCAGCUACUUGGAGGCUGACAUGGGAGGAUGGUUUAAGCCCAGGAGGUGGAGGUUGCAGUGAGCUGAGAUCGCACCACUGCACUCCAGCAUGAGUGACAGAACUAGACUCUGUCUAAAAUUUUUUUAAAAAGUAAUGUCGUUAUCACAUGUAAAAAUUAACAAUGAUGCUUUAAUACCAUCAAAUAGCUAGUCAGUGUUUAUAUCUUCUCAAUUGUCUCAGAUAAUUUGUUAAAAGUGUUGAAUCAAGAUUCAAAUAAGACCAUAGUUUGCCAUCAGUUGAUGUAUCUCUUAAGUCUCCUCUCUCCUUCUGCAAUAUUUGUUGAAAAAUCUGUGUCGAGACGGGCGGAUCACGAGGUCAGGAGAUCGAGACCAUCCUGGCUAAUACGGUGAAACCC
ensembl:lncRNA HULC hepatocellular carcinoma up-regulated long non-coding RNA